CUGCGCUGCAUGCUGGGACUGUACAGCCAGGAGGUACUGUGUUAAACUCUCUCACAUAAGGAUGUGCAGUGAGCAGGACUUCAUCUUCAAUCACCCAAAAGAAAAGUGAAGGAGAAAGCCCACUUUUGCCUGGUGAGCCUCAAAGUCUUAGAGGACACAACGACCAAUUCCAUCAGGAUUUUGUUUAAGGAAAAAAUGAGCCUGCAAGAAAUGCACAUUAAUAGCAGCUUCUUCCCUGAGGAAGGUUUUGAACUGAAGUACUUGAGAAGAAACUUACAACAGAGCAGCCUAGAGUGCCACCCCGUCCCUUUUAAUUAGCACACAUGAAUAGUAUUUAAUGUAAAAUAUCUAUCAACAUUUGUUUACAAAGACAAAAAACCUGGAAGCCAAUGUCCGGAACUGUUUUCUCCUGGUCUCACUUCUUUCCCAGCAUGUUACUGAAGACACUGGAAAAAAGAGAAGGGCUGAAUCAGUUUGGAAAACUGUGGAUUCUUCUGAACACUUGGACACUGCUAGCUUCCCAUGUGUGGGAGGAAUAUUUUACUGCCCAUCAACCCACUGCUUGAACAAUUUAAUCAGGUUGUUAAAACAAUUUAACCCUGGAGAAGAUUAGCUCAGAAGAAGAUACCUUUUCUGCCUCAAAAGCUACACCCAUUGUCCCAUGAUCUCUCUCUCUCAGUCUCAUAGACAAAGGUGUAAUAAAAUGGAUCCUUGCCCACGUGAAAGAGCCUCCAGGGCAUAGGAGCAAUUGCCCAAAACCACCCUUGAGACUGCCAAGAUAUGAAUUUAGAGCAACUCCCUUCACUCCUACUGGUUUCAAAAGUACCAACAAAAGCUCAUGGUCAGUGGUAUCAAAGGUUGCUGACAACUCUGUUAAAAUUAGUAUGGAUUCUCUAUUUUCAUCCAUUCAUUAGCCAAUGCAGUUUCUACCCCAAACUCAUGUCUAAAGUCCAAAUGACUGGAAUUGAUCCAAAUGGCUGUUAGCAAUGGUUGGAAGUCACAUGACUGAGGAUGUGGCAAGAGGGAGUCUUUUGUUAGUGGAUGAUGACAAACUAAAGUACCCAUGCUACACAUAGAUAUUUGAGAGGACAGGCAGAGCAGAGCAUAGUUCUAGUGCCCAGGAACUCCGACAUUCUAAUCCCAGCUCUGAUGCUUACUCCUCCCUUAGUAGCCUUACAAAGCUCUUCUGCCUCAGUUUCCCCAUCUCCAAAAUGGGGAUAAUACAAAUUAUGGUACAUCACAUAAGGUUUCUCAAGUGCUUUGAAAAUGAAAAUGCAAUGAAUUAUUAUUAUUUACUUUGUGGUUUUCUGAACUCUUUUGGUCCACCCCCUAACUCUGAUGUGUGUUACUAAAAGCCCAAUUGACCCAUUUACACUCGAAAGCUGGAGGCUCUAAGGCUUGGCCUAUAUAAGGCAUAUAUUUAAUGCUGGGUGAAUAUUUUGAAAGAAUGCUUACAGAUAUUCACUGACAUUCUUCAGUGCAAUCUCUUUGGCUAUGCUCAUACCCACUCUUGUGUUCAGAUUCUGCAAACAUUCACGCAUCUGAGCUUUACUAGCAUGAAUGUGGGAAAUGAAUUUCAAAGUCAUGUGCAUCUAUUUGCAUGCAUGAGUAUGCAUGACUAGGAAAUGCUUGCCUGCUCAUUGAGAAACAAUACCAGGUGACUUAUCUAAGCAAUCAUAACAAAGUCAUACAUCUUGAAUCCUUAAUUGUGACUUUGGGGAAAAUUGUUUAUAAUCAAUCCAGAGAGAGCUAAAGAAUGUUUACCUUCUUCAUUUUGGCCUUGAUUCAGCAAGGUAUUUAGGCUCAGACGUAACUUUGAACAUGUGAUUGUUUCCAUUGAGUUCAGUGGGAUCACUGACAUGCUGCAAACUGUGCAUGUGCUUGCUUGUUGUACAUAGUGCAUUUUCUGAAGAUCUUAUACUCUAAGAAAGCAGCUAUAUAAUAGGCAGGAGAAAGUGGGAAGCCCAUAGUAAGGGAUAAUUACAGUGCUUUAGCUGUAUCUUGGACUCAAUUCUUGUUGGCAAAAGGAAAGAAAAAGAGUCUGAAGAAAGGAUUUGAGUGAGAAGAGACUAGUGGCUUCAUGGGUAGGACAUAGGAGGCCCUUCCAUGCAUGGAGCUGGGGGCUUGUCAAAGGAUGCAGUUGUGGAAGAGUGGAUGAACAAGGCAUUGAGGCUGGCAUUACUGGAGAAGUGGAGGGCAUGAGGGGGGAUGUGAUAAGAAGUCUGAGAUGAAUAAUUUUUAAUAACAAAAAUCUUUGUGAAAAUUUAGUUUUGCGCGUUGAUAUUUCAUGAGUCAAAAAAGAGAAUAAGUUCAUUGGAUGAUUUAUUUGUUGCAAAUGAGUUGCUCCACUCUCUACAAAAUGAUCUGAUACACUGCAGAAAUGCAGAUUGCAUCUAUUUUACCUUCAUGUAGUUUUGAGGAUACAUGCAAAAAUGACUUUGCUUAAUGCUAUAUUCAUGUGUCCUAUGGGAAAAAAAAUCUAUUUUUUGUCCUUUUUUGCAUCUGUACGUUUAUUAAACAUCCAGAGAAAAGGUGUUGAACUAUGAAGAGAUCCCCAAAAGCAAAGCAAGCUGAGUUUGAAUGUGCUUGUGAGUUUGUUUACAAACCCAUGACAAUGAACAAGCCUUAAAAAUGAUGCAGUUGGGUGAGACUACAAAGUUUUUAGAAAGUUCUUUGAACACAUGUAAACAUGAUGUGCGUAGGCAAAUGUUUAACUUGCCUUUUUUUUUUUUACUUCCACAAAUUAUAUUAUGAAAUCAGAUGUUUGUGACUUCUUAGGAAUGUCAAAUCAAUGUAUUCCUUCCAAAGAGAUAAUUGCAGGGAACUGCUCUGCCUCUCAGCUUCUAUAGUUUUGAUUGUUCCAUUUUCAGACUGAAAAUGAUCAGACGCUUCAGUUGUUUUAGCAGGUCAUUUGCAUAAUACAGGUAGUUUUGGAAACAUCACCUGCAGUCCCAAACAUAGUGUGUUAGACAGUGCACUCUGAGAAAAGAAAGAUGCAAACACAUUGAGUUUAUGCAGCUAGAGGACACAGACAAGUCUAUUGCUUUCAUUCCCUGCCCUUUGAUCACAGGGCCCUAUGUUUUAAUCCAUCCCAGGCAGAAUCAUAGAAAGUGUAUUUGAUCUGAUAGCUGUAUCAGCGCUACUUUAAUACUCUUCUCUCUGAGACCCAGGAUUGCAGCAUCUAGAUUUAAAAUGUCCUUCUGGUGCCAACAGAGAUUGAAUUUGCCAGAUUAGGAUUUAUGAGUACUGCUAACAUGAAGCAGAGGUCAUCUGAUAUGGUCAUUGCUAUAUUAUUCCUAUGAGAGUGCAUGAUAGUAGUUUGGAAGCAGAGAUAUGUAAGAUAGAGUGUAUGCAUCAGUAUCACACAAACAAUUAGGAACUUAUUAUGAGACAGUUUCUAUUAACGUCAUAUUAGGGCCAGCAACCUAAGUGAUACAAAGUCAAUGGAACCAUUAGAAUAUGUGCCAUACUGUACAAACUCCUUCUGAAACUCACGCAACAUUGCAGGGCUAUCCAUAUGAUACCCUAAGGGUCUAUUCUCCCUUUGAUUCAUAUGCAUAAAUCUCAUUAAUGUUAAUAGCAGUUACACGUGACUAGUUAAGGGAGAAUAGACCCUCUGUUUAAUAUGAAAGCAUGCUCUCAGAUGAUUCCACAGGAGCUUUGGGAUCCAAUACAAUGUCAAAGAAGCUAGUACAAAUCCAUGCACUAGUGUUCAAAUGGCCAAUGAAGUCAAAGGGAUAUUGUGUACUAUACAUACUGUAUGUAAGAAAUGUACUGCUCUAAGAAAUGUAAUGUCCACUUUAAGAAUAUAGAUCUAUCAAGGACACUUUUAUACAGCCCACUGCCUUGUGAUAGUAUCUGACUAGCUCACAUUUUUAAAUGUAUUUAUACCCACAACACUCUGUGAGGCAGGGAAUUCUAUUAUCCCCAUUCUGUAGAUGGGGAACUGACUCACUGAGAGACAAAGUGACUUGCCCGAGGUCACAGAGGACUAUUUGGCAGAGCAGAGAAUUGAACCCACAUAUCCUAAGUUCUAACCCAGUUUGCUAGUCACUGGAAUAACUGUAUUUGCCUGUCUCCUUAAAAGUCCAUGUCUGUUGAAGAAAGGGUGUUCAUUUUACAGGAACUCAGUGUUAUUCAAUGGAAUUUGCCAUGUAGGACAGGAUAUUCUCUGUAGGCUUAAUGCAGCAUUAAAGAUUGAAGACAAUUUUAAGUAUUUUUUAAAAUACUUGGUAUUUCAUAUAACUGUUGUGAAACAAUGCUUGAAAAUUUUGACUUAAGGACUAUGGAUGGGAUUUUCAGAAGUGCUUAGCACUGGGCAAACUGCUCCAAUUAAAAUCAGUGGUAAAACUCCCAUUGACUUCAACAGGGGGCAGAGUUAGGCCAAUGCUGAGAACUUUUGAAAAUCCCCUAAAUGUGCAAGGUAUUUGGGCCAUACAUUGAGCUUUUGCAUUACAUUUUGCAUUGCAUUACAUUUUGCAGUAAAAGAGGAGUGAACUCACCAUCCGAUUUCAAAGGAGAUCAAAUUCAACAUGUCAGGAUCCAUUCCUGCCAAUAGGGAUGGUGGAAAAGGUGUGGCCUGACAGAUGCAACCAAAAGGAAUUUUCAAAAGGCAGUAACUAGGAGUCAGUGGGUACUGCAUCCCCAAAACUUUGUGCCAUAAAUCACUACUGUUAACGUCAACACCAAAACAGCCAUUUUGUGCUGAGUACUGUAUCUUCAUUACACACAGGACCUAGACACAAAGACCUAAGCUAGUUUUGAACUUACAUGAGAGGUACUUUACUGUUAAUCCUCUGUGCUAUCCAACCCCAUUUCUGGGGGCUUUCAGUUCACUGGAAUAUCUCCAGGAAGACCAAUCUAUGAUCAAUUAUUCUUCCUCAGUCCAAUCUCUGACUCACUCUGCUUCCUGAACUGCACCCAGAAUGCAAUGCUGCUUGUGAAGUGUGGAACAGUAAUCAGCCUAUGUAUACUUUUGUUCUGAAGGUAAAAUGUACCACCUAUGGGCCAGAUCCUCUUAUUGUCAAAUGUUAUGCUUACUGCUGGGUGCAGUCAUAAUGGGAUAGUAGUAAGCACUAUAUUGCUGGUGUUUGUGGGGUUGCUUCCUUCAUCAUUACAAUAGCCAUUAGAAUCUCUAAUGUGACUGUAGAUACUAUGUAAAUUUUACCCUAUUUUUACCUCUCUGCCACUUUUCUUUUGCACUCUGUCAUUCAAAUACGUAUUUACACAUCUAUUAAAACACAGUCUAUUUACCCGACAGACUGUAGUGACUGGGAUGGAGAAUUAAUACUCUAGACACAAAUGUUCCCACUGCAGUUAAAAAAAGAAAGCUGUGGUUUGUUGUUUCUCAAUACUUAAUGUCAUCAUAUUCCUUGUGCCUGUAUUAAAAUCAUAUGCAAGACUAAAAUCCCGCCGAACAAGAACAACUUGGAGAAGGAAGACAAAGGAAUAGCUAUGUGUGUGUGUUAUGUAUAUUUUAUGUAUGUAUGUGUAUUCAUCUGCAUAGAAUCAUCUAUAAAAUGUGUGGUGUGCAUUUAUAUACGUGUGUGUGUACAUAUAACUCUCUGCAUAUAACUAUACGUGUAUAUAUAAAUAUACACAGUGUAUGCAUGUGUGUAUAAUACAUUUGAUUAAAAAAUAAAGCCUUCUAUUCAUUUCUGCCUUGAUAAAUGCAUAAACGUACAGACAGUUUCUUGGCCACAACUACUGCAUGCUUGACAGUUAUGGUCACCUCAUACCAGACCUCACCUAGACCUGGGGCAAAGACAAAUCCAGUUUGAUUGAUUGGGAUAUUGUGUAUUCAUUCAUUAGUCCAGGUUUUGGCAGACAAGACCUGGCAGGUAUCUUCUUGUAAGCAGACGGCUUUCCUGGUGUGGUCUUGGCUUUUCUGGCAGCUUAGCUGUGAAAUUUUAUACACUUAUGUGGUGGGGAUUAAGGAUAUCAGGGCUCCAAGAUUUCUCAUAUAUUAGACAGCAUAUGCCGACUCAACCCUCCCUGCAGUGUUCUCUUUCCCCAAGAAAAAGGAGUUUACCUCGUUGUUGUUGGGUUUUUCUAUAAUGGGUGGGCCCUGGGCCUACUUAUCAGUGUUUUGUUUUAUGCAGAAAGCAGAUGGAAUAAGUAGUAACUUUAGUAUAACGUUCAUCCUCCAGUUGCUGCCAGCACAGCCCCCAAAAACCAAACUGGGUUUUAAUCUUCUCUCCAGGGAGAGAGGUAAAGUGAAAAAGGGAACAGAAAAGAUCACCAGAAACCAAACUAACAUUUUCAGUGGUAAUGCACUCUUGACAAGCCAAUUAUGUAUAGGAAGUUUGGGUUCCCAGGCCUGGAGAUACCUCACCUCUAAUGUUGGUAUUAAGCUGAAGAAUUUUGGCUACUGAAGCAGACAGCAGAGGGAAAGUACUGCUCUUAUGGACCUUUCCGAUUUCUUUUUCAUUCAUCAUUUUCCCUCUGUCAUAAAUCCACCACUUUGUUUUUAAACUCACGAAGAAAAAUAUAGAGCAGAUCACAUUAAAAUAAGUGUGCCUGAUCCUCAUUUACACUAAGGCCACCUUAUACCACUUUAUAAAUAAACAAAGCUAAACAGAAACCAAAGAUCCAUCUCUCCUUGUUCUCCACCAAGCACAGAAUCUCUAAUGAUAGCAAUGAUGGUCUUUUAUCUUCAGUGAUUUUAUAAACAUUAAUGUCUCAUGUGCAAAGGAGCAAUAUAAGUCUUCCUCACUUUGUGAAUGUACGAAGGGGGCAGACAAAACAACAGUAUGGCAUGCAAAGACUGCUACAUAUCUGUGCUGUUGCCAAUGCUACAGUGUUCUGGGAGUUGGGGGCAGGGCCAUGGCAUUGAUCAGCAUAGCAGCUACAUACACCACAUGCUCUCCAAGGGUUGCACAGCAACUUGCCCUCCCAGAGCUCCCAGAAGCACAAUGCCCCCAGGCGCUCCUCUGAACUCUCUGUUCAACAGACUGUGGCUUAAUGCCACAAUUGACCCCUAACUAAUUAAUCCUCACAACGCCCCUGUGCUGUAGGUAUUAUUAACCCUAUUUUACAGAUGGUGAAAAAGAAAUAGAGAGAUCAAGUGAUUUGCCCAGAGCCACAGAGAAAGCCAGUAUCUGAGCUGGGAUUAGAAUUGAGUAGCUCCUGAUUCUCAGUUAUUCAGGACACCUUUCCCUCAAACAGCUUUUUAAUUUUGGAUAGCUUUUGAAUCUUGGAUAUUUUAAGUUCACCCCUUUUACAAGACUAUGACAAAUUUUUGUACAAAAUAUGCAUUGUGAGGUAUCAUUUGA